rnacentral:rRNA from 1 species
GCAAUGCGGGGUCUAUACAUGCAGUCGAGCGAACAGACGAGGAGCUUGCUCCUCUGACGUUAGCAGGCGGACGGGUGAGUAACACGUGGAUAACCUACCUAUAAGACUGGGAUAACUUCGGGAAACCGGAGCUAAUACCGGAUAAUAUAUUGAACCGCAUGGUUCAAUAGUGAAAGACGGUUUUGCUGUCACUUAUAGAUGGAUCCGCGCCGCAUUAGCUAGUUGGUAAGGUAACGGCUUACCAAGGCAACGAUGCGUAGCCGACCUGAGAGGGUGAUCGGCCACACUGGAACUGAGACACGGUCCAGACUCCUACGGGAGGCAGCAGUAGGGAAUCUUCCGCAAUGGGCGAAAGCCUGACGGAGCAACGCCGCGUGAGUGAUGAAGGUCUUCGGAUCGUAAAACUCUGUUAUUAGGGAAGAACAAAUGUGUAAGUAACUAUGCACGUCUUGACGGUACCUAAUCAGAAAGCCACGGCUAACUACGUGCCAGCAGCCGCGGUAAUACGUAGGUGGCAAGCGUUAUCCGGAAUUAUUGGGCGUAAAGCGCGCGUAGGCGGUUUUUUAAGUCUGAUGUGAAAGCCCACGGCUCAACCGUGGAGGGUCAUUGGAAACUGGAAAACUUGAGUGCAGAAGAGGAAAGUGGAAUUCCAUGUGUAGCGGUGAAAUGCGCAGAGAUAUGGAGGAACACCAGUGGCGAAGGCGACUUUCUGGUCUGUAACUGACGCUGAUGUGCGAAAGCGUGGGGAUCAAACAGGAUUAGAUACCCUGGUAGUCCACGCCGUAAACGAUGAGUGCUAAGUGUUAGGGGGUUUCCGCCCCUUAGUGCUGCAGCUAACGCAUUAAGCACUCCGCCUGGGGAGUACGACCGCAAGGUUGAAACUCAAAGGAAUUGACGGGGACCCGCACAAGCGGUGGAGCAUGUGGUUUAAUUCUAAGCAACGCGAAGAACCUUACCAAAUCUUGACAUCCUCUGACCCCUCUAGAGAUAGAGUUUUCCCCUUCGGGGGAC